rnacentral:rRNA from 1 species
GUUCCAGACUCCUACGGGAGGCAGCAGUGGGGAAUAUUGCACAAUGGGCGAAAGCCUGAUGCAGCAACGCCGCGUGAAGGAAGAAGGUCUUCGGAUCGUAAACUUCUGUCCUUGGGGAAGAUAAUGACGGUACCCUUGGAGGAAGCCCCGGCUAACUCCGUGCCAGCAGCCGCGGUAAUACGGAGGAUGCGAGCGUUAUCCGGAUUUAUUGGGUUUAAAGGGUGCGCAGGCGGCACGGCAAGCCGGCGGUCAAAGCGCGGGGCUCAACCCCGCCCAGCCGUCGGAACUGGCGGGCUAGAGUGGGCGAGAAGUGCGCGGAAUGCGUGGUGUAGCGGUGAAAUGCAUAGAUAUCACGCAGAACUCCGAUUGCGAAGGCAGCGCACCGGCGCCCUACUGACGCUCAGGCACGAAAGCGUGGGUAUCGAACAGGAUUAGAUACCCGCGUACA